rnacentral:rRNA from 1 species
AUUGAACGCUGGCGGCAGGCUUAACACAUGCAAGUCGAGCGGGGUGAUGGUGCUUGCACUAUCACUUAGCGGCGGACGGGUGAGUAAUGCUUAGGAAUCUGCCUAUUAGUGGGGGACAACAUCUCAAGAGGGAUGCUAAUACCGCAUACGUCCUACGGGAGAAAGCAGGGGAUCACUUGUGACCUUGCGCUAAUAGAUGAGCCUAAGUCGGAUUAGCUAGUUGGUGGGGUAAAGGCCUACCAAGGCGACGAUCUGUAGCGGGUCUGAGAGGAUGAGCCGCCACACUGGGACUGAGACACGGCCCAGACUCCUACGGGAGGCAGCAGUGGGGAAUAUUGGACAAUGGGGGGAACCCUGAUCCAGCCAUGCCGCGUGUGUGAAGAAGGCCUUAUGGUUGUAAAGCACUUUAAGCGAGGAGGAGGCUCUUUUGGUUAAUACCCAAGAUGAGUGGACGUUACUCGCAGAAUAAGCACCGGCUAACUCUGUGCCAGCCGCCGCCGUAA